GACAGAGGAUGCAAGCGUUAUCCGGAAUGAUUGGGCGUAAAGCGUCUGUAGGUGGCUUUUUAAGUCUGCCGUCAAAUCCCAGGGCUUAACCCUGGACAGGCGGUGGAAACUACCAAGCUGAGUGACGGUAGGGGAGGUGUGGAAUUCCCGGUCGUAGCGGUGAAAUGCGCAGAUAUCGGGAGGAACACCAGUAGCGAAGGCGGCACUCUGGGCCGGUACUGACGCUGAGGAGCGAAAGCGUGGGGAGCAAACAGG
rnacentral:rRNA from 1 species